rnacentral:lncRNA from 1 species
GAAGAUUCACCAGAAGGAGGUGGGGAGAUUACAGCAGGAGAACACCGAGCUCAGGUUCGCCGCAGAGUUCGCGAGGAUGGUCGAUGAGAUAGGGCCUUCUGUGGGACCCUCAUCAGGAUAGCCUGUAUUGUUUGUGAGGAUUACCGUCAGGCUUGUUGACGGAAUUCAUUUGCUUGUAUUUCUUUCCUGAUUCUGGAGAUUUGUAUCUGAUUUGAUGUAUG